UACGAAGGGGGCUAGCGUUGCUCGGAAUCACUGGGCGUAAAGGGCGCGUAGGCGGGUCUUUAAGUCAGGGGUGAAAUCCUGGAGCUCAACUCCAGAACUGCCUUUGAUACUGAAGAUCUUGAGUUCGGGAGAGGUGAGUGGAACUGCGAGUGUAGAGGUGAAAUUCGUAGAUAUUCGCAAGAACACCAGUGGCGAAGGCGGCUCACUGGCCCGAUACUGACGCUGAGGCGCGAAAGCGUGGGUAGCAAACAGG
rnacentral:rRNA from 1 species